UGGUGGUAAAAAGGGAGUCCGAGGAGAAGGCCGGGGACAAGCCGGACGAGCACCAGGGGAGGCGGGGCGGUCUCCGAUGAUGAUGCGAUCGACGAUGCGACAAGCGAUAGAGAGGGAGAGGGAAGGGGGCAGGGAGAACAAAGCGGUGGUGCAGGACUAGGGCCGACGGAUACUCGAGGAGGGGGAGGAGCGUCUUGGAUUGGGAGGGGACCAACUGUUGGGCGUCCGAGGAGUUGAAGAGGGAAAGGAAAUGAAAUAGCAAGAGAAAGAGGAGAAGGCUGGUGGACGAGUUAUGCUUUGGAAGUAAUAAAGAUCCCAUUUUUAGGAGUAAGAACACAAGACUCGGUUUUGUUGGAUUCCAGUCUUGACUGUGUUCAACAAGACAAUGCCAUAUUUCGGUGUAAGCACGGACUCUAUUUUUGUUGAAAGCGAAGAGAGAGAAGAGGAAGAGGUCGGCGUCUAUGGAAAGACGUUACUUGCAGUGAGCUCACAGUUGACUGGUAGAUCGAUCUAUAAGUUGAAACGAGAGGAAGAAGAAGAGUAAUCCCUCGCCGCUCGCGAUUAAGAGUAGAGAAAAAAGGAAGUAAUGUGAGGACAUUUACGUCUAUUCCUAAAAGAAUAUUUAGAAAUAUUAUAAUUUUUUAAAAUAAGAUUCUAAAUAGUAAUAAGGGAAAGAGAAUUCACGCACUUUUUUAUUAUUAUUAUUAUUAUUAUUAUUAUUGUGGUCCUUAUUGGUCUCAUUUUCCAAAAUGAUAACAUCACCAUCAUCAUCAAUGUCAUCGGAGGUGCUGCUCGUCGGCGACCGGAACGCAGAUGUCUUACGUCGUGGUCCCGUAGCCGUCACAGAUGCAGCAGACCGGUGAUCGUUGGAGAUCCUAUCGAUCCGUUGGGUGCUGGUCUAUGUGGCGCCUUGUCGAGUACAAGGGCACAGCAACCACGGCUUCGUCCGGCACCCAAGCAGCAAGACCACCCAAUGUGCCUGCUUCGAGAAUAGGCACAUUGCAGUAGCCACAUCUUCCCGGACUUGGAUGAACUGCAGGAUGCCUAAUGAUUUGUGGGCUUUACUUGCUGGUUCAAGUUCUUCAUGCUGUUUCACUAUCCAAAAGUCAUUUCAAGAGCAUAUGAUGAUGUGCCAGCAUGGAGUGGAAAAUACUGGCUACACUCAAGUUUAAAUCAAUUGCUACAAGUUCUUGAUUGCCUUUUUUUCUAAUUUAGUUUAUAGGCAAAUAGAUCCAUCUAAAAGUUGAGUGAUAGGUCUGUCCAGAGGUGGGAAAUGAAGCUACAAGUACUCAGCAUCCAAAGAUAAGCAUGAGAUAUUGAUGAUUCCACUAAUGAUUCCAAUUGUUAAGUCGUAUUGGUUUCCAGGAACUCCACAAUUUUAUUCAAUUAUGCAAUCUCUGCCAGUAAUGAGCUUAAGAUAAGAUUCAUAAAUUGGUACAUUAUCAACCUGCGAUGGAUGAGGCCAGAAACAGAUUUGAUCCCUUUUCAGAUUAUAAAAUUCUCCACCCUGGCUGAUGGUGAUGAUCUCAAGUGUAGCAGUACAAAAAGGUAGCCAUGACAUAGGGCACAAGGAUUAGAGAUAAAAGUGAUGCAGCAAGAACAAGUUCUUCUGAUUUGGUUGAGCAAAUUUCCCUCCACAAUUCUGAUGAAUUCACUGCAAAAUCCAUGCAAUAGUAUAUGCAUCUGAUUCAGAUAUUGUUUCCCUGAAUCCCUGCUGUGUGAUCAGAGCUGAAACACAAAUGUUCAUCUGAUUCAAUGGAAGUGCAGCAGAACACACAAGAAAGGGCUCUUUGUUCACAAGCCAUAAGAUAGCCAUAAGGUGUUGUUCUCUGCUAUGGCUGCCAAAUCAUGCAAUCUACAUAUAUAUAGUUGACGUGGAAUAGUGACAUCCAUGCUUUUAGAACUCGACUGGCUAUAUCUAAACGUGUGUGUGAAUGCAUGGCUCGACUGAACAACACACACAUUAAAAGGAAAAGAACCAUUGAUGGCCAUCAUAGCUUGAGUUCCUCAGGUCUCCUUCCAUGGAUGGAAUCACUGUCAUUAGCUUUCAUAUGCAUGUAAACAAGCACACAUUGUAUCUCAUUAAGUCAAACAGAUUGACUGGCCAGCCAAACUUUGCUUGCUACAUAACCUCAUCAUCUUAUAGUUAGGAACGUUCAUGUACAGUGAUAGUGGAGUCAUAGAGAGAGCAAACUAAGCCAUAUCAUGGUUGGCUUUUCUGUGUGAAGGAAGGUAAAAUGUCUUGCAGCAGAUCACAGUCAGGGAAUUGAAAUCCCUGGAAAGGAGAUUGCAGGAAGCAAUGCAGAUUUGGUUGGUGCAUCAGGUGGUAGUGGUGAUGGUGGCGGAAGCUUGUCGACGCCGUCGGUGGAGAUGCAAGCGACUGUGUGCUUCCUCGAGCAGGUGCGGGGCUGUGAUGAGUGUGUUUCCCUUCAUAGGUUGUGACGACAAUUGCUGGAUCUUGGUAUGAUCUCUCCACCGUCUUCUUCACCAAGCAUGUCGGCGAUGUGCAGCGGUAGUAGCUUCUGAAGUGGAACAAAGAAAUAUAUUGAUCAUUAUCAAGUAUAUUGACAUAGAUUAUGUUGUUUCAACAGGAACAUUUGAUGCAGAUCGGUGCAGUAAAGACACCUCGGAAAAGGGCUGUUCUUGACUGCCUUCUGGCCGUACUUCCUCCACCUAUAGCCAUCUUCAAGAUGAUCAACCUCGCUCUUGGUCAUGAAAGCAAAACGAGGCUCUCUUCGUCUUUUCUCUCCUCUCUUCUUCGGUUUGCUCCUGCAUUAUCAAGUGCCGGCCAUCAAGCUUAAUGUUCAUCGUAACAUUUUGAUGAGAACGUCUCAAAAUGGAGAAGAGAAGAUGACGGAUCUGAGCUAAAGAGAAGAGAGAGGAAAGAAAGCUGUAAACCCUGAAAGCUUCUUUUGUUAGAUGAUCUUUCUUGCGUCGGCUUGUGUCCUCCUCGCCCGCUGCCUCGGUCGACGAAGAUGGCACUGAAGAGCUCGGUGAUGCAGGCGACGUGCCUGCACCGCACCCAGUCGACGGCGUCAAAUUGUUAGUGGAGUU